GCUACGGGUGGCAGCAGUGAGGAAUAUUGGUCAAUGGACGAGAGUCUGAACCAGCCAAGUAGCGUGAAGGAUGACUGCCCUAUGGGUUGUAAACUUCUUUUAUAUGGGAAUAAAACGUUCCACGUGUGGCAUUUUGUAUGUACCAUAUGAAUAAGGAUCGGCUAACUCCGUGCCAGCAGCCGCGGUAAUACGGAGGAGUCGAGCUUUAUCCGGAUUUAUUGGGUUUAAAGGGAGCGUAGGUGGUUUGUUAAGUUAGUUGUGAAAGUUUGCGGCUCAACCGUAAAAUUGCCGUUGAAACUGUGAGUCUUGAGUACAGUAGAGGUGGGCGGAAUGCAUGGUGUAGCGGUGAAAUGCUUAGAGAUCACGAAGAACACCGAUUGCGAAGGCAGUUCACUGGACUGCAACUGACACUGAGGCUCGAAAGUGUGGGUAUCAAACAGGAUUAGAUACCCCUGUAGUC
rnacentral:rRNA from 1 species